rnacentral:rRNA from 1 species
GACGACCCGAGCGAACGUUGUUCGGAAUCACUGGGCUUAAAGGGUGCGUAGGCGGGCUGCCAAGUUUGGGGUGAAAUCCUCCGGCUCAACCGGGGAAGUGCCUCGAAUACUGGCGGUCUGGAGGGAGGUAGGGGCGUGCGGAACUAACGGUGGAGCGGUGAAAUGCGUUGAUAUCGUUAGGAACUCCGGUGGCGAAGGCGGCCUGCUGGACCCUCACUGACGCUGAGGCGCGAAAGCCAGGGGAGCGAACGGG